rnacentral:rRNA from 1 species
UACGUAGGGGGCAAGCGUUGUCCGGAAUCAUUGGGCGUAAAGCGCGCGUAGGCGGCCCUGUAAGUCCGCUGUGAAAGUCAAAGGCUCAACCUUUGAAAGCCGGUGGAUACUGCAGGGCUAGAGUCCGGAAGAGGCGAGUGGAAUUCCUGGUGUAGCGGUGGAAUGCGCAGAUAUCAGGAGGAACACCAAUAGCGAAGGCGGCUCACUGGACCGGUACUGACGCUGAGGCGCGAAAGCGUGGGAGCAAACGGG